rnacentral:lncRNA from 1 species
AAUAAACCUGAUUUAUGAUAUAAUGACUACGGAAUUUUGAUGUAAUCCUGACAAACCUGAUUUAUGAUAUAAUGACAGAAUUUUUAUACAAUCGUACGUUGGUAAUCCUGACCACAACCCUGAUUUUUGAUUUGAUUUGGAAUUUUGUUAAACUAUUUUGGUCUUCCAUCGAAUUAUUUUUCAACCUGCAACGGUAUAAUGAAAUCAAAGAAUAAAAAAAUUUCACUAAUACCACAACUAAAACACGGAUUACAUCACUUGAGAUACAAUCGAUUUGCGUUCCAUCAACUAUUGUGUCGAUUAAAAUUAUUCGAAGGACCAUUUUAUUCCUUCGAUAAAAGUGAAUUUGGAAAAUAUUUUAAAAUUCAUUCAACGUGCACUAAGAUGUGAUUAUUUCAUAUAUGUCGAAAAAUAUGUACAUCUUUGAAUACUGUAGUAGUAAUACAUGUACAAUUUUGGUUAUUUGGUAAUCCUGACAAUAAACCUGAUUUUUGAUUUGAUUUGGAAUUUUGAUGCAAUCCUGAGUUAAUUGGUAAUCCUGACACUAAACCUGAUUUAUUAUAUAAUAACAGAAUUUUGAUGCAAUCCUAAGAUAAUUGGUAAUCCAGACAAUAAACCUGAUUUAUGAUAUAAUGACUACGGAAUUUUGAUGUAAUCCUGACAAACCUGAUUUAUGAUAUAAUGACGGAAUUUUUAUACAAUCGUGAGUAAGAUGGUAAUCCUGACCACAACCCUGAUAUAUGAUAUAAAACAUAAUGUAUGCGAAAAAACCUCAAGUUAUACGAUAGUUCGUAUCGGUCGAAUUUAUUUGUGAAAAACGCGAAUAAAUUUCUGACUAUUUUCCAUAACAAUAUUUGGAUGCACGCAUAUACUCGGCUCAGGAAAUAUUUUAAAUUUGAACAUGACAAAAAAAAAGUAUACAUAUAGUAUACACUGACCUACCUUUUCGAUAAAAAUUUAAAAUGUACUAUACCUUGGAGAAAAUUGCGCGAAACACCAUAAUUUUUUCGAAAAUUUUUGCAAAUAACAAGUAACUUUGGCGCUGAAAGGGUUAUUACAGCCGAUGAGGAAAUUGCGUUACGUCUCUGCAAUGUACUGCUGCCAAUGAACGAAUUAGAAAGGAUAACACGCAUAUAUUCAUGGGCAUAUGAGCAACGUAGCAUGCUAUGACAUGGCGAUCACGAUAUGGAUACUGGAGCCAGCAGAGUUUGAUCAUGACAGAAAGGUGCACCGAGCCCCAAUUUUUCAUUUGUUUAUUGCUGAAUGCAAGCUAUAUGUUCGAAUUUCGAAGAUUUGACCAACUUCCCAACUCGGCGCUUGCGCAUAUCGCAUGUGAACAACACACACACAUACACACACAUCGAGGAGACGUUUAUCAAAAACUAUGCGCCCACAAAAUGCGUAAUCACUACUUCAAGCCUACUUUUAGGCGAUAUAAAUUUCUUGUCAUAGUUCUCUGCGCUCCAUAUAUCGGCUUUGCGGCUCGGUUUGAAAGCUUCUUGUUGCAUUGAUUGAAGGAAAGAUCACAUGUUGAGAACGAACAACGGCUCGUCAAAAUUGCGGCAAUUAAGAACUACAAAAAUAAACAAAAGACGAACUUUUACAACUAAAA